rfam:Camelus ferus unplaced genomic scaffold scaffold252, whole genome shotgun sequence.
GAAGGUAUAGCUCAGUGGUUGAGCGCAUGCUUAACAUGCAUGAGGUAAUGGGUUCGAUUCCCAGUACCUUCA